rnacentral:tRNA from 1 species
CCUGGCUGGCUCAGUUGGUUGAGCAUCUGACUUUGGCUCUGGUCAUGAUCUCCAGGUUUAUAGGUUCAAGCCCCACGUCAGGC